GCACUCUUAGUAUUUAUAUUUUAUAAGGUUUAAUUCAUUAUUAAAGUGAUAUUAAAAAUAAGACUAAAUUACUUAUAGUUUUCCAUCUGUUUUUUAAAAGUGCAUUGUGUAUUCUUUUUUAAUUUAUAUCUUCUAGUGAUAUUAAUAAAAUUAUUUGUUCAUUAUGUUGUUUUUGUUCCUGUAUUAUUCUAAUUGUCUAAUGCAGAAUAAUAAAAAAUGGAAACACGUUCAACGUUCACGAGAAAAAAAAGAUGAAGGAUAAAGAUAAAGAAAAAUAAUUGGUAACUGUUGAAAAACAUUGUUUUGGUUUAAUACAAAUAAAACAUCAAGCUAGAAGACUGACCAGUUAGAAAAUUUACAUUUGACUGGAACAUGCAAGAAGAUCUAUCAAUUUAUUACAACAAUGCAUUUGGAGAAAGACAACGUGUACAAUUUUUUGUAUGGGAUGAUUCAAGGCAAGCUUCAGUAUCAAGAUUUUGAAAAGGAAUGAAAAUAAAUGUUUCCAGAACGUAUCAGAAAAUGUUAAACUACAUGCAAUGUAAGUAUGUUAAUUUACUUUAGUAAUUGGCUUUUAAAAACUAAGGAAGACUGAAAAAGAAGAUAUGAGAGAAAAGGUUUAUAAGUUAAUGAAAAUCAUUUAAAAUCAUUAUCUCUUUGAAUUGUAUUCUAGAUAACUUAUAUCAAGUUAAGUCAAAAAGAUCUUAUUCAAAAAUGUCUUCAUCAAAUUUAAUCCAUUUGUAAUCACAGCCUGUAUAUUAGAAACAAAUGAUAUUCAUCAUUUGUCUAGUUGAUAUGUCCGUGUAAAAUAUAUUUGUAUAUUUAUAAAUAAUACUAAAGUAUUUCUUGACUUAAAAUAUUCUUCUAUAUAUAUAUAUAACGAAUUCUUUUCUAUAGUCACGCUAUUGUUUUAAUAAAGUCUUAGAACUAUUAAUAGUAAUUAAUUUAAGGCGCCGGUGCUGGCGGUAAAGUAUAAUCUCCGUCUGUUUUACAUUCCUCUUCCCAAUUGUCAGGUAUCAUAGGUUUUAAUAUUUGUAUAAAUUCGUUUAUAGGACAAAUCGUAGCACAUCCGGGUAUAGUCAUCGGAUAUGGUUCGUAAUUGGUCGUAUUUCUUAAGAAUAUCUAUUUUAAUAAAAACAUUUAUAAUUAUAUAACAUUAACAGUAAUAAAGUAUCAUCAUUCAAUGGUAUUUA